GUGCCUUCACUUCAUCUGUUCGUAGAUUAACACUGUGCGCGGUGAGGUUAAUCAUUUUUCGGCGUGACAAAUGUCAUGCGUGGCGUGAGAGCGUGUGAACUUACUGAAAUACGUGUGUCUUACGAGACCUGAGAGCCCUGUUUAUUUGCCACUUUUGCGAAAGACUGGCUAAAUUGGCACCAAUAUGUUACAGCGCCUAUGCUAAGCUAAAGCAGCUGCACUGCAGAAUUAGGGCUAUACCUGGAAAAACGCCUUUUCUUACUUAUCCAACUCUGGGAAAUACGGUGCCGUAAGGGACGGCACCAGGAAGUGAGGCAGAAGAGUGCAAGACUGUGGAACUCGUGACUGGUCUGAUGACAGAGGAUGAGGAGCAGCUGAGUUCACAGAAGACGCGUCCCCGUGUCAUGCAUCUGAGCAUAAGCGCAUCAGCGAGUUCCCUCCCCGAUAAGUGGCACCCUGUUGGAUCUCCAAUGUCUGCGUCCAUAUGGGUGAAUGGGGCGUAAACAUGGCUGUUUCCUGGUGCUGAUGUCUGCCGUGAGCGUCCUGCUGAGACAAAAACCGCAGAUGAAGUGACACUGCCAACCUCCCCCCGCCCGUAAAUCAAAUAAACGUUCCCCAACAUCUGGAGUGGCAUGCAAAUAAUAUGAUCAAUAUUCCGGACAGCACGUCACACGUGUCUGAACAACACCUUGCAGGAUAUCAAUACCCCCAACACACGCCCUGAAAACUUCCUAAAAAAAGAAAAAGACUCUGAUCCUGCUUCCCCUGCCAAAUAAAAAGUUGGUGAAUAAAAACUUUGUAAGAGGCUGUAGCAAUGUUUCUUUCUAAAAUGACA